UCUUUGAAACUUAACUUAAGCUUUGAAACUUAAGCUUUGAAACUUAAGCGUAACGCAGGUGUCCUAAGGCGAGCUCAGGGAGGACGGAAACCUCCCGCGGAGCAGAAGGGCAAAAGCUCGCUUGAUCUUGAUUUUCAGUACGAAUACAGACUGUGAAAGCGGGGCCUCACGAUCCUUCUGGCUUUCUGGCUUUUAAGCAGGAGGUGUCAGAAAAGUUACCACAGGGAUAACUGGCUUGCGACGGCCAAGCAUACAUAGCGACGUCGGUUUUUGAUCCUUUGAUGUCGGCAGAAUUCACCAAGCGUUGGAUUGUUCACCCACUAAUAGGGAACGUGAGCUGGGUUUAGACCGUCGUGAGACAGGUUA
rnacentral:ncRNA from 1 species